rnacentral:tRNA from 1 species
GUCUCUGUGGCGCAAUCGGUAAGCGCGUUCGGCUGUUAACCGUAAGGUCAGUGGUUCAAGCACACCCAGGAACG